GUCAAUUCAAACUGCCUGAUGCCUUCUAAAACCCUAUCGAGACUCCGAGUUGAUAUAUCAUUGUAUCUCAAAUUAGGCUGCUCCUUAACUGAAUCCAGAGACUGCAGGAGCUUAAGCAGCAGCCAUGGUAUGGGCUUACAAGUACGUGUCAGGGCUAUGGAGGAAGAAGCAAUCUGAUGUGAUGAGGUUCUUGCAGAGGGUCAGGUGGUGGGAAUACCGCCAGCACCCUUCCAUUGUUCGAGUUAACUACCCAACUCGCCCUGACAAGGCUCGUCGCUUGGGUUAGAAAGCCAAGCAGUUGUAACAUAUUUUAGUUAUAUGAUUAUCCUUUGGUCGGAAAAACUGCAUUGCAAAAAUGUUUAUGGCCAGACUUAUUGUAAUUGUGAUACUACUCAUAUGUUGCUAAUAUAGUUGAAAUAUACAUUUUUUUAAUUAUAUUUACAAAUAGAAUAAUAAAUUAAAUGAUGUUAUGAUUGGCAACAAUAAAAUUGU